AGCAGCCGCGGUAAUUCCAGCUCCAAUAGCGUAUAUUAAAGUUGUUGCAGUUAAAAAGCUCGUAGUUGAAUUUCGGGAUCAAAUUGUUGGUCGUGCUUCGGUACGCACUGGCAUUAUUGGUUUCUACCUUCUGAAGAACCGCGAUGUCAUUAAUUUGGUGUCGUGGGGAAUCAGGACUGUUACUUUGAAAAAAUUAGAGUGUUUAAAGCAGGCGCACGCUUGAAUACAUUAGCAUGGAAUAAUGAAAUAGGACGUUUGAUUCUAUUUUGUUGGUUUCUAGGAUCGACGUAAUGAUUAAUAGGGAUAGUUGGGGGCAUUAGUAUUCAAUUGUCAGAGGUGAAAUUCUUGGAUUUAUUGAAGACUAACUACUGCGAAAGCAUUUGCCAAGGAUGUUUUCAUUAAUCAAGAACGAAAGUUAGGGGAUCGAAGACGAUCAGAUACCGUCGUAGUCUUAACCAUAAACUAUGCCGACUAGGGAUCGGAUGAUGUUAAUUUUUUAAUGACUC
rnacentral:rRNA from 1 species